UUCAUUUACCCCUCUUCUCCUGCAUAUCAUCCUACCUCCAUUAAUGUCCAUGGAGACAAAUCCACCAAGUUAUUAUGUGAAGGAAGCGAUGGAUGAAGAUGAUGUGCGUACCCGGCUUCUUAUGUGAAGGACGGUGAUGGAUUCAAGGGAAAUAAGAUCCAAUUCUCGGGACCGUUGGAAAGCUAAGGCAGCAAAGGUAGCCGCUGAAAAGCUAAGGCAGACUUUCAAAGGAA